GGGGGCGAUUUGGCUUCGACCGGAUACUGGAAGUGUCAGUGGCGUGUCGUGGUUGGUCAGUUGGCCACGUUAAAAGCUGACCGCACUAUUUAUUUGCCGAGGAAAACCUCGCACUGGCCGCCUAACUACGGCGUCCCCGACUGCGGAUCUUCGCCGGAGAGAUCCAAAAGUCGGUUGCAAUUCCGGAUC
rnacentral:tmRNA from 1 species